ACUUGGGUUGAGGGGGCGGGAGGGGCAGAGGGUCAGCAGGACUGGGAUGGUUUAGUGAUGCAGGUAAGGAGGAGUUCCUCGGGGGAGGAAACACUGGGAAGAGGGAGAGAAAACAAAUAAAAUACCUCCAUUUAUAAAUAAAAAAAGCAAGGGAUACAAUUUCUGUUCAAUCAACUCACAAUAACAGGAGGUGAGUAAGACUUGGUUACAGAUUUAUAGAAUACUAUUCAACUCUUGCUUGUGGCCAAUUUUAUCUAACAGAGCACCACAGUUAACUUUUUCAUUCUGAACAGUCCCACUUUAACUUAUGAUGCAUGUUAUUGCCUUGUGUAAUACCUUGCAUAACUUGACUACUUCUCUCCACACAGUUCCCACAGUCCUUUGCAGUAGACGUUCCUCUACUGAAACUGUGCAGCAUGAAUGCAGACUUCUCCUGGGACAACAGGGAUGUUGGCUCCCUCCGGUGGUUGCUGUGGGGAGCAGCGCUGCGGCUGCUGGAUCUUCUCAUCUGUCUCACAGCGUCUGUGCUGCGGAUGCCGGCUCUGGAGGGCUGAGUCACACGAGUCUGAGUUAUCUGGGUCCUCUCCCAGGGAGCAGGACCUGGAGCAAAAGAUGAGGCCCCCACGUGGGAGGAAGGGCCGCCCCAGCAAGGGGAGCCGACAGCGGGCACAGCAGAAACACGACUUGGCAGCAUGCCAGUGCUGGCCCUCAUAGGUCAUUUGCCCCUGGUCUAUACCUGGAAGACAAAGCGGGUCUAAGAAAAUUGUCUGUGUGUGUCACAGUACUCUGCAUAGAGGGACUCAUAGCAGGAGCAGCAGUACGGCCGGCACGCUCUCAUGAUGUACCGCUGUCCCCCCAACGCUGCUUCACACUCAAAACAACAGAAGUGCUUCAUGUGCCAGUGUCGGCCCUCUGCCUCCGUACACUCAUCAGCUAGAAUGAUCUGCAUUUCAGAAAGAGAGAAGGAGAGCGGGAGAGAGAGAGAGAGAGAGAGAGAGAGAGAGCAAGAGAGUGAUUGGAAAAAAGGG